GGAGGCUCAGAGAGGAGCCCUGGGCUCCGAGUGCCCCGACUCGCUCUGUGCAGGUCCAGAGCGCUGGGAGGGGACACAAACCCGGAUGCAGGACCAGGCUCCCAGGGAGACAGGACAAGGGGCUUCCCACCAGCCUGUGCUGUGAAAGCUUCACCCCCAGGCAGGGCUCCCAGACUUGCCCCACAACAGAGCAGGGGCUCCCCAGACACGGCGCAGUGCGAGGGGCCCCGGGGCGAUACGUGCUGCGCUGGGCUGUGGGGUGCACGUGCAGAGCUUGCACUGCAAUCCCGGCACAGCGCGGUGCUGCACCACGCACACAUCCCCUCGCAGCGCACUGCCAGUGGGGGUGGUGUUGGUCCAUUGGUAGCUGCGGGGUGAGGGAGCAGGCGCAGGAGUCCCGAGGGCACAGCGGGACACGGCUGGACACAGACAAGGGGCCUGGCUCCCCGGCCGGCGUUGGCUCGGUGCCUGCAGGGGACAGCGCUGCGGGCCGCACUGACCGCACUCGUCCGACACCGGCCUAUCGCUAAGCCUCUGACCGGCAGUGACAGCUGACAGCAAGCGCGCCAAAUCCGCUGGCUUGGAAGUACAACGCCAGCAUCCACGUCACAAGCCAAGUGUGCAACACAGGCACCGACCUGGAGGUUCUUAUAGCGCCCCUGGCAGACCCCGGCGGAGUUUAUCGCCAAGACUCCCGAGUGCUACUGGCCAGCCGUCACGCACACCGACCACGCGCGAGCGAGGAGCACGUCUGUGCGCGCCCCGCCCCGCCCCGCGCCGCGCUGCACCGCUCCAACACGCCGCACGAACCCCUGCGGCCGCCGCCGCUCCCCCGCGGUGCCGGCCGGGGGUGGGGGGCACCGCUCAGCGCAGCCCGCAGCCACACGGAGCCGGGCACUGCCCUGCCUCCGCCCCAGGCAGCAAGCAACAUCGCAGAUAAAGAGACCUGAUAAGAUGGUCUGGGCACGUGGAAUAAGUAAGUCUCAGCCGGGCUCCUGUGUGAUAUUAGCUCUGUGAGGCAUGUGAACACCUGCAUGCCAUUCACACGGCAGACCUCGAGGUUUCAGGCAGGAAGCCGUAGCAUCAGAAGCCGUCUGUGUCUGCUGUGGUCUGAGCUCUCUGCCAGAGUGCUACAACUUGUUGUGAAGCAUUUACAGCUGCUCCACUUGUCCAUAUUUUCAAACAGGCAGGAUCUUUUGAAAACGAUACCUAAUGUUAUAUUAUUAAAAUGGCUAUCCAUACAAGGCAGAGAGUGUAAAAAUGAAAAUGCUGACAGACCUGUAGAGUUGUUCAGCCAAAAUCCAGUUCCCUUCAGGGACCCGGAGCCAGGAGUUGUGCACUGUGUAGUAGCUGGGGAGAAACGAACAGACUGGUGCAGACGCUGGGCUCAUGUAGCUCCAGCCUGAGCCCUCUUCCAGCCUCUCAGACUGCUUGCUCUCCUAAAGGAUCAGGGGAAACAUCGUGACCACCGAGGCAGUUUUCCUAGUCGCAACGGGGGACAACCGCUUUCCUGGCACUGGGGUAGUACCCACAAAGGCUGUUUCUUUCAGUUCUGGCCAGGGCUUAUUGAUCAGCUUUGGGCCAUGGCGUUGAAGAGCUCCCAAAACCUCUGGCUUGUUUGUCCUUGGAGUGAACUGGAAUGGAGGGAAGAGUCACCAUCACCUUUUCUUUCCAGGGGUUUCAUCAGGAGCUUUGCUACCUCAAGCAUUGGUGGUUCAUGGUAGAAUUCCUGCUUGCCAUGUAGGAGACCUGGGUUCAAUUCCCAGCCAGUGCAAGUGAAUACAGUGCACAUACUAGCAGACUGAGCUAAUCCUUGACAAGUAUGGUUGUUUGUUGUAACUUUCUAUUAUUCUUUGAAUUAAAAAAAUAAACAAACCAACAGAUAUUUCAAAGCAAACAUGGCAGAGUAAAUCCACAAUUUAUUUACGUUAUUGAUUCCUUUCUGAAACUUCUGCAUUUUAUUCAUGAUUCAUAUGCAGAUGGAUACACAACUAGCAGCACUAAUAUUGUGUGGCACCAUUAAAAAAAAUCUGAUGGCACCCCAGAGUGCCCA